AUUAUUAGAAUUACUGGAUUAAAAUAAAAUGGACUCAUAAUCCAUUGGUCGUAGGUUCGAAUCCUACAGGGCCCACCA
rnacentral:tRNA from 1 species